GAAGAGGGCGACGAAGCGAGGGCUGAAGUCAUCCCUGAAAACGGUGAAGGCCAGGCAGGUCUCCGUCACGGCGUACCACGACCGCUCGAGACAUGAUCAAACCUCUUUCUGGGGUGAUUUCUGAGCCCGGCAGGAAAACAAGACCCUAAAACUAAUGAUGCCGCCAACAACUUGAUUUUAUUUAAUCUGCUAACAAUUCCUAGCCCAGCCUAUCAGCGACGCCUCCUCCGCCGCUCCACGACUCUCAUUGGCUAGCACCGCCUAGCGUCCCGCCUCCCCGCCUUUGACAGGCAGCGGCGGGUUAGGCAGGGGGAAGGGGUGGCGGCCUCUUCCUUCUCCGCCUUCUGAUUGGCUGGCGCCGCGGGCGCGCUGCCUAUAGAAGACGACGCCCGCGGGAAGGGCGGGGUCAACUUGGUUCCUUGCACGCGCCGUCGCUCCUCGCGGGCUCCGCUCAGGUGAGAGGAAAAUGGCGGGAAAAGGGGUUGGGUGCAGCGAGGCGUCGUCGUUGCUCCCUGAGGUGAUUUCUUCGUUUCCUCCAAUUUGUGAGGGGAAAACGGGGGUGCCAUGAGGUAAACUUACCCCCUUCCACCCUGGUUGCUGAGGGGAGACCAAGCCCUGGCGCUGUGAGGUGAAAACCAGGUUGUAAAUCCUUUUAUAUUCCCUUUUCUACUUCAUAUUCGAGGGAACAAUGUGGCACGGUGCUUUAUAUCCGUUGCGGUGAGGGAAGAGGGUUUUUAGGGGAAUAUGGAGGGGGAAAAUUAAAUCUCUCGGGGCUCUGCUGUCCCCAUGUACUAUGUCCUUUUGAUAAUACCUUGGGAUCAAAGGAGAGGAGGCAAGUACAGCCCUUUAAGUAUUCUUCUGUUUGCUUGGAAAACUCUCUGAGGAGGGAGAAAGAGGAGAAUUAUGCACCUUUUACUUCAUUUAAGGCAGACUUUGGUGUCCCUGAGCACAAGUAAACUGUUUUGAACAGGAGGAUGCACUAAUAUGGGAGUAAAAAUGCUCUUUUCUAACCAAGUGUGGUGGUUUGUGAGGGAACUACCACAAUGUCUUCAUGUCCUGAGGAGGUGGCAAGCCAUGUCUUGGUGGCUGGGUGAUGGUAAUACUACCAAAGCGCCUGAAAUGAGAAAUAUAAAAGGGUUUUUAUUAUUUCAUUGAUAGUUUUCAGGGUAGUUGUUGAGCAGCUGUGAGGGCGAGAUGUGUCCCCUCUUGCUGUGGUGCUGGUUGGUUUGGGGUUGGGUCCUGGGGAGCGGUAAUAAAUCCUGUAAAAACAAGGUGGGUUUUGUUCUUUUAUUGAAAACAAAUGUGACUUUAUAUUUUGGAGAGUAAACAUGUUGCCUUUAUUAUUCCUUUGGUUGAGACAAGAGCUAGUCUAACCCAAAAUUGUUGUAUUUAUUGGUUUUUUUAUUCUUUUCAGCAUCUGAUCCCUGUAGCUGGUAUAA